AAAUUGAAGAGUUUGAUCAUGGCUCAGAUUGAACGCUGGCGGCAGGCCUAACACAUGCAAGUCGAACGGUAACAGGAAGCAGCUUGCUGCUUCGCUGACGAGUGGCGGACGGGUGAGUAAUGUCUGGGAAACUGCCUGAUGGAGG
rnacentral:rRNA from 4 species